GAUGAACGCUAGCGGGAGGCUUAAUACAUGCAAGUCGAGGGGUAACAGUUAGGCUGACGACCGGCGCACGGGUGAGUAACGCGUACACUACCUACCUUAUACUACGGGAUAGCCCUGGGAAACUGGGAGUAAUACCGUAUGUGAUGGAGACAUUAAAGGUUACGGUAUAAGAUGGGUGUGCGUUUGAUUAGAUAGUUGGUGAGGUAACGGCUCACCAAGUCUACGAUCAAUAGGGGGCGUGAGAGCGUGACCCCCCACACGGGUACUGAGACACGGACCCGACUCCUACGGGAGGCAGCAGUAAGGAAUAUUGGACAAUGGGCGAAAGCCUGAUCCAGCCAUCCCGCGUGAUGGAUGACGGCCCUAUGGGUUGUAAACAUCUUUUAUAUAAGAAGAAUAGCAUGCAUUUAUGCGUGUGUGACGGUACUAUAUGAAUAAGCAUCGGCUAACUCCG
rnacentral:rRNA from 1 species